AAGACCUUACUUCAUAGGAUCAUUUCUAUAGUAAGUUCUUCACGAGAGUAAGUUUUAUGAAACAUUACGUACGAAAAAAUAGAUU
rnacentral:snoRNA from 1 species